UACGUAGGGUGCAAGCGUUAAUCGGAAUUACUGGGCGUAAAGCGUGCGCAGGCGGUGAUGUAAGACAGGUGUGAAAUCCCCGGGCUUAACCUGGGAACUGCAUUGUGACUGCAUCGCUGGAGUGCGGCAGAGGGGAUGGAAUUCCGCGUGUAGCAGUGAAAUGCGUAGAUAUGCGGAGGAACACCGAUGGCGAAGGCAAUCCCCUGGGCCUGCACUGACGCUCAUGCACGAAAGCGUGGG
rnacentral:rRNA from 1 species